rnacentral:rRNA from 1 species
GCCAUGCGAGUUGUAUGGGAUACCUAAAUUUCCCAUGGCAAACUGCUCAGUAACACAUGAUCAACUUGCCCUAUAGAGAAAAAUAACCUCGGGAAAGUAUCAUAACGAUUUAAAUAUAUAGACUAUGAUACCCCGAAACUGAGGAUAAUGUUUCAUAGCUGAAAAGGCUUGGAAAAGUUUUUCAAUUAAAGGGAUAGGGAAAAUGGUCCUUAUCUGCUAUAGGAUAGGAUCGUGUUCGAUUAUGGUUGUUGGCGAGGUAAUGGCUCACCAAGCCGAUAAUCGAUAGGGGCCGUGAGAGCGGAGGCCCCGAGAUGGGUACUGAGACAGCGACCCAGGCCUUACGAGGCGCAGCAGGCGCGAAACCUCCACAAUACACGAAAGUGUGAUGGGGUUACCCAAAGUGUUCUAUUAAGAACUGUGGUAGGUGAGUAAUGUUCCCUACUAGAAAGGAGAGGGCAAGGCUGGUGCCAGCCGCCGCGGUAAAACCAGCUCUUCAAGUGGUCGGGAUAAUUAUUGGGCUUAAAGUGUCCGUAGCUGGUUUAGUAAGUUCCUGGUAAAAUCGGGUAGCUUAACUAUCUGCAUGCUAGGAAUACUGCUAUACUAGAGGGCGGGAGAGGUUUGAGGUACUACAGGGGUAGGGGUGAAAUCUUAUAAUCCUUGUAGGACCACCAGUGGCGAAGGCGUCAGACUGGAACGCGCCUGACGGUGAGGGACGAAAGCCAGGGGAGCGAACCGGAUUAGAUACCCGGGUAGUCCUGGUCGUAAACGAUGCAUACUAGGUGAUGGCACGGCCAUGAGCCAUGUCAGUGCCGUAGGGAAACCGUUAAGUGUGCCGCCUGGGAAGUACGGU